UACGUAGGGGCAAGCGCUGUCCGGAUUUAUUUGGGCGUAAAGAGCUCGUAGGCGGCUUGUUGCGUCGACUGUGAAAACCCGUGGCUCAACCAUGUGGUCUGCAGUCGAUACGGGCAGGCUAGAAUUCGGUAGGGGAGACUGGAAUUCCUGGUGUAGCGGUGAAAUGCGCAGAUAUCAGGAGGAACACCGGUGGCGAAGGCGGGUCUCUGGGCCGAUACUGACGCUGAGGAGCGAAAGCGUGGGGAGCGAACAGG
rnacentral:rRNA from 1 species